rnacentral:rRNA from 1 species
AAACCGUUCAGGGGUAAACCUGUGAAACCCAAAAGAUCGAAUGAGGAGAUUCAUCGUCAGCGUAUUCAGUAUUAAUGCAGGCUAUGAUGUGAUAAUAGAAUCCUCGUGGUCACUAGAUUAUACUUGCUUGUAUUAUUUUUGCUGGGUAUGUCGGCGUGCACUUCUCCUCUAGUAGAACGUCGCAACCCGUUGGAUGUUUAUUUAUGGCCUGAUUNGGUAGCCUUUGAUAUUUAUUAUAUUGAAGACCUUUUGGUGUCCUGAUAAACUGUCUGACGGUAUACAUNAUAGUAUUGAGCCGCAAUUAUUUGCGUUAGACUUGCCGCAAGUAAGGCUUUAUUCUGGUAGUGCGGAUUUAAUGCCGUCGCUGGNACAAAGUCUGCUGUUAGUUGUGUAAUGUCUUUAACUGGCUUAUUUACUGGUUAGCGAUGCUACUGCUUUGGGUACUUACAGGACCCGUCUUG